rnacentral:rRNA from 1 species
AAGUAGAUAAGGGCGCAUGGGGGAUGCCUAGGUUCUCAGAGGCGAUGAAGGACGUGCUAAGCUGCGAAAAGCUACGGGGAACUGCACAGAAGUAUUGAUCCGUAGAUAUCCGAAUGGGGCAACCCGGCAGAUUGAAGAUCUGUCACCGAGAGGAGCAAACCCGGGGAACUGAAACAUCUAAGUACCCGGAGGAAAGGAAAGCAACAGCGACUCCGUCAGUAGCGGCGAGCGAAAGCGGACAAGAGACCGUGUGAACAACCUGGAAUGGUUGGCCAAAGAAGGUGAAAGCCCUGUAGUGUGGUCGUUAGAGUCUUCAAGUAGGUUCGGGCUCGUGAAACCCGGACUGAACAUGGGGGGUCCACCCUCCAAGACUAAGUACUACCCAACGACCGAUAGUGCAUCAGUAAGGUGACUGAAUGAUGAAAAGUACCGCGACGAGCGGGGUGAAAGAGUACCUGAAACCAUGCGCUUACAAGCGGUGGGAGCCCUUCGGGGUGACCGCGUGCUUUUUGCAUAAUGAGCCCACGAGUUAGUCUCUGCAGCGAGCCUAAGACCUACCGGGUCGGAGGCGAAGGGAAACCGAGUCUGAAUAGGGCGCUGAGUUGUAGGGGCUAGACGCGAAACCCGUGUGAUCUACCCAUGGCCAGGGUG